UAGGGAAUCUUCGGCAAUGGGGGGAACCCUGACCGAGCAACGCCGCGGGAGUGAAGAAGGUUUUCGGAUCGUAAAGCUCUGUUGUUAAGGAAGAACGAGUGUGAGAAUGGAAAGUUCAUACUGUGACGGUACUUAACCAGAAAGGGACGGCUAACUACGUGCCAGCAGCCGCGGUAAUACGUAGGUCCCGAGCGUUGUCCGGAUUUAUUGGGCGUAAAGCGAGCGCAGGCGGUUAGAUAAGUCUGAAGUUAAAGGCAGUGGCUCAACCAUUGUAGGCUUUGGAAACUGUUUAACUUGAGUGCAGAAGGGGAGAGUGGAAUUCCAUGUGUGGCGGUGAACUGCGUAGUUAUAUGGAGGAACACCGGUGGCGAAAGCGGCUCUCUGGUCUGUAACUGCCGCUGAGGCUCGAAAGCGUGGGGAGCGAACAGG
rnacentral:rRNA from 1 species